AUGGCUGCAUCUACAGUCCUCCUAAAAGGAGAGGGUAAUGGGAAGUACUUUGACCUGGGUAUUGACCAUGCGGAAGGGAAUAGGCAUGAGAUAAGUGUUGAAGGCAGCACAGCGACGCAGCCCAAACGCGAAUGUGAGCAAUGCUGCGAGGGGCUGAAUCCCGAAAAUAAGGCGGCCCUGGAGGCCUGGGUCAGGGGAACGGGUCUCCGCCUCGUGCAAGUGACCGGGCAGAGGAAGUACGGCGGCCACCCCCAGGCCGGUGGGCAGCCCGCCGCUGCCGGCUGCCCCAGGACGUGGGCGAGCACCAGCGGACCCCACCCUUGCAGCGCGUGGGCCGGCGCUACGAGGUCCGCCUGACGAUGACCUCAGCGGCCUGCCCCCGGCUUCGCCUGCGCCCGCUACAGCUCGAACGCGGCGCCCAGGCACAACCACCCUGCGCGGCCAUCCUGCCCGUCUGCCGCAGCACCGAGAAGCACGAGCUGAGCGUGGACCGGCUGCCGCUGGGUGUGACCCACAGCACGCUGCUGCUGGGGCUGCAGCCACCCGGCCCAGCCUGCAGGAGACGCCGCUGCUGCCCAGUCCAGGCCCGCGGCCCGCAGCCUGCACAGAUAGCGCUGCUCAAGUUCAGCUUGCACCUGGCCACAGCCGUGGCCAAAGAAGAGAUCCUAUAGAAGGUCAGCCACGCCUCCGUGGGGAACAGGUGGCUGUGGAGUGGCUCGAGCCAGACCUAAAGCAGCGGCUCCGCCAGCAGCUUGUGGGUAGGGGCCCACUUCGGUGCCUACAGCCAGAUGGCAGCCAGCUGGUCAGGGGCAAGGGGCAAGCUGGGGUACCCAGGGGCUCGGUCUGCCCUGCAGCUGCCGGGCCAACGAAUGAAGCUGGGCAGCCCAAUAUUCCUGACCGAAUGUUUGGGCGCAGGACCCGCUGGCUGGCACCGCUUCUGGUACCAGGUGGUGAUCCCUGCACAUCCAUUACCUUUUGGCGGCCUCACCUGGGUCGUGCUGGCCGCAGAUGGGCGGAUGCGCAUGAGGUGGCCAGGGACGCUGUGUCUGCGCGGCUGCAGGAGGCGCUGAGGGACGCUGCAGGCGGUCUCAUGGUUUUCAGGAGCUGAGGCAGGUUCUGUGGUUAUGCAGCGAUUUCUGCCUCUCCCCACAGGCAGCCUGAACGUCCAGGUCCGAUGCACCCCCGCCUGGCUCUUCCUCAAAGUUAACAUGUUUGUACUUGGCCCUGGUAUCGUGACAUUACCUGAAGAGUUAUUUCUAGGAAGCAGCUGUCCUGUAUCGGUGACAAUUUAUGAAUUCCACCACUUUAUAUACCGUACCUGUGAGUGUGGCAUCCGGAGCCAGGUGUCUCCAGGAAAUCGGCUCUCCUUUGAAGCUGAAAUCACCGUUAGAUCACCGAUGCUUGGCUUUUACUCUUCCAUGACUAUUGUGUGCGUUGUGCCCAGCUCUGCGACUUUAAGGAAGCCGCUUGACAACCCAGGAAACUCCGCGUCCUCAUCUUUAGAGUGA